UACGUAGGGUGCGAGCGUUUAAUCGGAAUUAUUGGGCGUAAAGAGCUCGUAGGCGGUCUGUCGCGUCUGCUGUGAAAAUCAGGGCUCAACCCUGGACCUGCAGUGGGUACGGGCAGACUAGAGUGCGGUAGGGGAGAUCGGAAUUCCUGGUGUAGCGGUGAAAUGCGCAGAUAUCAGGAGGAACACCGGUGGCGAAGGCGGAUCUCUGGGCCGGUACUGACGCUGAGACGCGAAAGCGUGGGGAGCAAACAGG
rnacentral:rRNA from 1 species